AAUGGAGUCAAAAGUACAUAUACGUACGUACCGACUUAUUAGUUGCAAUAUCUCGCCACAAUAGUCUGCCAAAAUGUCAAAUGUCCAUCUCGUGGACAUAGCAGUGUUCUCAUCUCAUGCACAAUAUGCACAAUGGUGCGCAAUGGUUCCAACCAUUCCGACGUAAAAAAGUUAAGGUGACGUGUAUCCUAUUUUUCAGUUUCUUGGUUGUGGUUUUGUAAAAUGAAUACAUUUAAACGAGAUAAGAAGGAGGAGGAAGAUGGUAACUAUGAACAUACGUGCUCUACCUCUCAUAUUUAAUGUGAGGGGAAUCCUUUCCAAAAUUUAGAGAAGACAACUAUGACGACGAGGUUCGUCAUCGUGCGGCUUACUAUUGCGCCAUACUCCAACAGCAAAUGGAUCCCGCUAUUCUCCCACCCUCGAUACAACCUCCCCAUCUGACCGUGUCUGGUUUAGAAGUAGCCUUAAUGAAAUACAUGCAUACAUCCAUGAAUGAACCAUUCGAUAUCUCUCAGAUUCCUUCGGCACAGACAAUGGACGAAUUAUUGGAAGCCGUAGAUCAGAUAGUUGACAAAAAAACGAAGAAGUUUUAUACGAGAACGAUGCAUGAUUGAUCGGCGUUACUAGAUAUACCACAAUUGGAGUUGUUGAUUUGCAAUUUGAUACUAGUUAAAUCAUCGCCUGAAUUCGAUCCAACAGAAUCGGAGACAGAAUACCACAUAAAGUGCAUCAAGCAUGGGCGGUUACUUCAGAGAUGAUAAAGAAAUUCUUGCACGUGCAAGAUUAGCAUUAUCCGGCACUCAAGUGACAAUGCAAUUAACGGUUCUAUGUUCAGAUCCGGAUGUUGCUGAAUUAAUCAUCUCUUCUGUAGGAUAAUUCGAAACCUAAGUAUUUCAUCAUAUUUCGGGGUCAGCGGGUCUACAUAUAUAUGUAUAUAACGGUAAUCUAUGUCACCACGAUUUCGAUAUUUUUAGUAUUAUAAGAAUAAGAUUACAUUAACGUAAUGUGUAAAAAAAAGAAAAAAGAAUGUUUUUUAAGAAA